AAGCUGAAAAGCUUUAAACAAUAGUGUACAAGAUCCGUUGAUUCAUCAACUGACCUACUAAAUAUUCCAACUCCCAUCUACAAGUUAAAACCUUGAAGAUUUUGAAAUGAUCAUUAUUACUGUGCUUUUCAAUACAUUGAUGGCUAUGUAAGUAUUAUAACAUGUCAUUUUAUAUGUUUUUCAAUUGAAAUAUUGCUUAAAGUAAGAGAAAUGUUGAAGCAGUUAUGUAGUUGUUUUAGAACAAAAAAAUAAUCGGGCAUGAUAAACUCCUGUAUACAUUUACUCUUUAUUCAAUAAUGAUAUGAUGUUGAUAGGUUAAUGCUGACAUUAAAGGCUGGAUUCUAUCAUCAGAGUAUUUCUUGUAUAUAAAUAGUAAUUUUGCAAUUAAUGCCUUAAUGCUGGCAUAGUAUAAUAGGACAUUUAGGACUUCCAUUUGGACUCCCCUGCUCUAAAUCGCAAGAUCAUUUUAGAAGGAUACUUAUCACCUCUUGUUUGUGUCCUGAGGUUAUUUGGUAUAAAGUAACUGUGUCAUUUGUUUUGUUUGCUCACUGUACAACACCGUGGAAUAAGCUGAUACAUGUAAUUAUAAAACCAACAAAUAUAAAAUAUAAGUAAGGUAUAAUAUUUACAAGGAAAUUCACCUCCAGGAAAUAAACAUAGUUUGCAGUUGCACUUUUUUAUUUGCUAAACAUUGAAUUGUAGUGAAGUAAAAACCCAACUUUAAAAUGUAGGUUUAAAUAGGUUGUGGCUAUAGCUAGGUUGAAAUUUGUAUUAUUAUUAUUAUUAUUAUUAUUAUUAUCAUCAUUAUUAUUAUUUUAUUUUUAUUUUAUUUUUUUAAAAUCUGGUUUUCAUUCACUGAAAUUUGGUAUUCAGUGAAUACAAUUGUUGGGUGAAAAGUCCUGUUGCUUUUCAAUUUACAAAUCAAUUUUAAUAUUAAACUGAUCUGGAGAUUUCUUGGUUUAAAUGCACUCUGUAACAGUAAAGAAACAUUUCCAUAACAACAAAUCCCAACAGCAGAAAAUCUUUGCCAUAUGUAAAGGGACUGGUGAUAGUCACAGACGACAAAGAGUAAAGCAACCACAAGCACAGCAGUUUGAAUCCAAUAAAGCUCUUUAUUACAAUUCAAAUGUACUAACAAUGUAAAAUGUACUAAACCAUAAUGGCAGAAGUAUCAUUCUGUUAUUGACAGCAUAGAGUUUAUCAUGAAACAAAAUGUAUCUAUCUACCGGGAAAAAAAAGUGCACAAAUAUAGCCUAAUGUAAAUAUAAAAAUAUUAUCCAACUGAACUGGUCAUUAUAUAAUGUGUUCCCUUCAAAAAGCAUGCACAAGAGAACAGCACAGCAUCCUGACAAUAUUCAACCACAGCAGCCUUUAUCGAUGGUUUCCUUAGCUUACAUCCCAAUGAACAGCAUGCUUGCUACAGCCCCUUGUGGCAUUGAAAUGGUUAAUAAAGCCAGUAUUUCCAUAGACACAGAACACAAACUAUAGCCAGCUGUCACAUAGCUGUAAUUUAAGACACAGAACAUUUUUUUGUUUGUCUCACAGGAAUAUCAUAUUGCCUUAUUGUUAACAUAUGGAAAUAUAAGUGAUAUUUGAAUAAAAUGUUUUCUUGUAUCAGCCCAUUGAGUUAAUAUAAAUCAGAAAUAUGUACUGCUCCUCCAAAAUAUUUCGCAAUAGAAAUAAAGAAUAUAUUAAAUGUUGAUUUCAGAAUAUAAAUUAAGUCUCAGCUAUAAUGUCAGUGUAUAAAGUUAGUCUGUUUUGUGAUACAUUUCUAUUUGCAAAAUUAGUGGCCAUCUGUUUGAAGUCUAGGGAAAUCAAUAUUUUUACUUCCUGUAAAAUAUUAUACAAUUAUUAUUAAUCGUCUAGAUGUUAAAUGUGAUUUAGUUUUAUCCUUUGGGCAUGACGAAGCCCUGUAUAAAUUCUCAUAACAGCAUAAUAUUUCCCGUUUAUUAUUUUACAACUAUCCUUAUCGCACAGUUUAUUUAAUUUCAUAUUUUUUUUUUUUUUAUCUCCUGUUCUGUUAAUUACCAACUAGAGCCUGCAGCAGCCUCCAAUAUCAAACUUUAAUGAACAGAGCAGGAAAUAAAAUGUGUGAAGUAAACACACUGAGGUGUACGAUCUGUUUUUUUUUUUAUUAACUUUUUUUCAUGGGCACUGUGUGAGUCACAGUUAGUGGAGGUGUUGCUAGGGCUACAUAAAGAAACUGUUUUUUUUUCAACGUAAAUUCAAAGUAAAUUUCAAAUUCAAGGUAAAAAUAACCAGACUGGAAAAGUUCUUUAAGUCAGCUAUACUUCUACUUCAGCUAUGUUUGCCUAAAUUGCAAUUUUCUUUGUAUUAAUGCUGAAUUCUCACAUUAGUCAAUAACUCAAAGUGAUUUAACUCCUAAAAGAGAUUUGAAAAUUGACAAUACAGGAGCAUUAAGAAAAAGUUGUUUUGGUGCUUAAAGCAUCCAUUUAAAAAAUAGAUGAUCUGCCAAACCAGCUGAAAUUAUACAAUAUCUAUGUGCUUAAAUUAGACCUAAAAUACUGGUGUAAAAACAGACAGGCAUGUUCACAAAUGUAAGCAUAUCAGGGGAAUUUAAAAUGUUUAUUUAGAUAGGACUAAUUAAUAAAGUGAGACUACAAAGAGAAUUACAAGUGGAUUUCAAAUGUAAGGUGAAAAUAGCCGAAAUGGAAAAAAAUUUCAGCAAUGCUUUCAGUUUGACUACUCUUGCUUUAAAAUUUGUAAUACAUUUUCAAUUUGUUUUAAAUUCUCACUUUACAAGGUUAUUCACUAAAGUGAGAAUUCAAAGUGAAUUUCAAAUUCGGCAUUUUGGAACUUUGGGACUUUUGUUGCAGCUGCUUAGUAGAUAACUCCCUAAUUCCCUAGGUAUUUCAAUUAACCAAUCAGAGUGUUGUUAUGAGUCAAAUUACACAGCGUGGGAAAAUGCCAAAGAACUUUCCCAAGCUGUGUAAAAUGACACAGAGCACUCUGAUUGGCUGGAUUUCAAGCUAACCAAUCAGAGUGCUAUGACAGGUAAAUGUAGAGACUUGCCUAUCAGUCUCUUCAUUUACCUGUCAGAGCACUCUGAUUGGAUGGCUUAAACCAACCAGAGUGCUCUGAGCAGGGCCGGCGCUACUUGUAAGGCGACCUAGGCAGCCGCGCCCGGAUCCCUGUGCCCGGAGUCACCGCGGAUUUGAGUGACCGGCAAAAGGGCUCUCAAUGUAGCAUGGCCGGGUGGCGCGGAAUGCGGGACAGGAACCUCUGUUUCCUGUACCCGGCCGCCGGCGGACUGACAGGAAGUGAUCACUGAGUGAGCACUUCCCUUCAGUCCGCCGGCGGCCGGGAACAGGAAACAGAAGUUCCUGUCCCGCGUUCCGCGCCGCCCGGCCACGCUACAUAGGCAGGAGGGGGGGGGAGUGUGAGUAAGGACGGGGAGUAAGGAACACAGGGGAGGGAAGGGUCCACCAGGGGAGGGGGGGGUCCUAGUAAGGACCUCCGUGGGGGAGAAUGGGGGGAGUAAGAACCACUGGGGGAGGAGGGGGGAGUAAGAACCACUGGGGAAGGGGGGGUGAAGGAACACUGGGGAGUAAGGACCACUGAGGGAGGAGGGGGGGUCCACUAAGGGGUUUGGGAGAGGGAGGACCACUAAGGGGGGAAAGGACCACUAAGGGGGGGUGAGAAAGAGGAUAAUGACCACUGGGGGGGGAUUACCACUAAGGGGGUGGGGGGAGGAGGGGAAUGUCUACUAAGGGGUUUGGGAGAGGGAGGGCCACUAAGGGGGAAGGGGGGAGUGAGAAGACCACCAAGGGGGGACUACAGGGGGCCAAGGGAGAGCACUAAGGGACAGAAGGGGAGAACACGGAGGGACAGGAGGGAAGGGGAAAUCAAUAAUUGACAGGGGGGGAGAGCACUAUGAAAAAAAUAAAAAAAAUAAAGAGCUGCUCCCCUCUCAGUCUCUAUCCUACCCCACAAACCCUCUCUUUUACACUACACACAUACACAAUGCAUCCCCCCCACACACACACACAGAAACAUACAAUGCAUUCCUACUCACACACAGACACACCCGAAACACACAAUGCAUCCCUUACAUUCACACAAACACUCAUUCUCUUACACACAGAAACAAAAUGCAUCUCUUACACAAUCAAUGCACCCCUUACAGACACACACUGCAUUCAAUUAAAUACACGGAAACACACCUUGCACCCCUUACACACACACACCCAGAAACAUUCAAUGCAUUCCUUACACACAAACACACACUGCAUCCCCUAUAAACACACUACAUCCCUUACAGAAAUUGGUAUCCCUAUACACUACAUUCUAUAAGAACACACACACACAUUGCAUCCUCUACAAUAACACAUAAACCAUCCCCUACACACAUACACUCCACUUCCUGUGAGAGAACUCACGGGUGGGCCAUGUAGCUGGAUUUAUGGGUGGGCAUUGUAGGCAUACUCACGGUCAAGCCCUGGGGGCCCAGACCUUGAGCUGUGUAAGGGGCCCUAAAAAAUGGAGCUGCUUCCUGUUUGUUAAUUGUUGUGAGCACUCUUAAAAACAGUCUCCUGAGAGCCUCUUCUACACCAGACCUGUGGACCCAGACAGAGCCCAUCAUCAGCCUCUUGUCCUCAUCUGGUGGUAAGUAGGCAAUCCAAUAUAUUAUUAGUGGCACUAAUCUCUAAUUUACCUCACAUUAAAUGGAUACUAUAGUCACCAGAAGCACUACAGCAUAAUGUAGUGGUUCUGGUGUCUAUAGCCUGCCUGUAGGCUUUUUAAUGUAAACACACUGUCUUUUCAGAUAAAAGACACUUUGUGAAGACUGGCGUUGGCUCAUAUGGCAGAGCAUAUGGGCGGGGCAUUGUGAUGUCACAUGGUGGGCAGGACAUAUGGAGGGGGGGCUGCAAAUUUUAUUUUUGCCUAGGGCGGCAAAAAUCCUUGCACCGGCCCUGGCUCUGAGCCUAAUUGCCGGGCGGGGCAAGGCUUUAUAAGCCUUCCCCCGCCCUGCAGAGCUCAGUCUGCGCAAAGCCCUCCAUGGGUGAAGAUAGAUAAAAAUCUUUGCGCUCUGUUUUUUUUUUUUUUUUUUCAAAGUGCGACGGUUAUUAUGGAUUUUUAUUUGGCCUUUUUUAAGGCUGAAAAAAGAAGAUUUUAGAAAAAAGAAGACAUCAAAUGGUAAGUUUUUUUUUUUUUUUUUUACAGGUACCUAGUUAUUGGUCCUCCCUCAUUACAGGUACCUAGUUAUUGGUCCUCCCUCAUUAUUUUUAGGGUGAGGGGAGUAGGUAGGGGUUAAUUUUUUUGGGAGGGGGAGACUAGGGGUUUGGGGAUCCCUAGUCACCUGGGGGGGUUACAUUUUUAUUUAGGGCCCCCACCCACCACUCAGGGGUGGAGGACAAUAGGUCGUCAUCCCUCAUUAUUUUUAGGGUGAGGGGAGUAGGUAGGGGCUAAUUAAUUUUUUUGGGAGAGGGAGACUAGGGGUUUGGGGAUCCCUAGUCACCUGGGGGGUUACAUUUUUAUUUAGGGCCCCCACCCACCACUCAGGGGUGGAGGACAACAGGUCAUCGUCCCCUUAUUUGUAUUUAGGGCCCCCACCCACCACUCAGGGGUGGUGGCCAGGGGGGAGUACAAUAGGUGCCCCCCCCUUAUUUUACUUUAGGGCCCCCAUCCGCCGCUUAGAGUUUGGGGCUGGGGUGGGGCAAUAGGUCCCCCCUUCAGGUUAGAAGCCCCCACUCGUACGGCACGGGUGGGGGCUCGGGAGGGGGGACAUGUCUUUUUUGUGAUACAUGGCUGUUCACUGUUUACUAGACAUGCCCCUACUCGUGGUAUAGCGAGUAGGGGCAUAAUUUACUAAUACUAAGUAAUCUUUACUUAGUAUGAGUAAAUUUGUCUGAAAGACCAAUUUAAGUCUUUCAGCCUUUUAGUAGAUAGCUCCCUAAUACCAUGGGAAUUAGGGAGUUAUCUACUUAUUCAUUCCUGUCAUUUCAUUGACUGGCUAAGUAACUAACAUUUUAUAUGACUGUGUGUUACUUGAAGUGUUGCAAACGCUUGCAGCUGAAUCCUGGCUAUGUUUGUAUACUUUUUAUUUAAACUUGUAUACAGUGUAACAUUCUUCAUUCUUCCACUGGGUAGGUAUAUUAGUACUUCGGCAAUACUGUGCUUUGGAACUUUGGCACUUCGGAAAUUCGGAACUUCGGCAAUUUGGAACUUUGGCAAUUCAGACAUUCGGAAGUAUCCGAAUGUCCGAAUUGCCCGAAAUGCAUCCGAAUUGACAUUUGGAACAAAACGAAUUUCACAUCUCUAAUAAUCACUGGAUCUUGCACAGCAACACUUUUUUGCUGUAUGUGCAUUUUUAGGGGUUCAUUUUAAAAAAAAAAAAUUUAUGUGACAUAUCACUAAAUAAAGUGAUUGUGAUCAUGUCACAGACGUCACAUAUGUAGUAUAGUGCUGAGGAGGUGUAUGCCAUCCUUGCGUUAGAGUCUGACACGUCUAUGUCUGAUUCCCACCCUGAUUUGGACCCUACCAGAUGCUCAGAUACAUUACUAGAUACAGUGUCUGCUGCUAGUGAUGUUGUAUCUGUGCCUGCUAGUCCCCCUACCAGAAGGAGACGUGCUGCUCCAGCUGGCAGUACUGCUGAGGAGUGGGCAGUGCCUCAUCGCCAGAAGCCAGAUAUCCCGCCCUUUACUGCAAAUCCUGGCAUCAAUGUGGAUGUUGCAGGAUUUAGCCCUCAGCAGUAUAUGCAGGUGUUUCUGGGCGAUAAUGUUUUGGGGAACAUUUUCGUCCAAACUAAUUUAUAUGCCCAUCAGUUCCGUGCUUCUAAGCAGGAGUUUUUUUUUGGCAAAGCAGCAAUGGGCCCCCAUCGAUGUGCCAGAAUUUAAAAAUUUGUGGGCAUUAACUAUGCUGGUGGGCAUCAUAAAGUAGCCCCAUCUGCUCUACCCCCAUUUACUGGCAUGGGUGUGCUCAGGAGGGCUUGCAGAAAACAGCCUGGAGUGUUUUCUUUCAAUGACCAACAGGCUCUGCUAAAUCACAGUCAAAAAGCAAUGUGUGUGUAAAAAUAAUUUAAAAAUAACCACCACACACUUUCUCUGAUUUUUUUUGGCUAAAACAAUUUCAUCAAAGGCAUUAAAACAAUCCAUAUACAAUACCGCGGGGUGUCAGUUUUUCAAAUAUAUGCACGCUCAUGGCAAGAAAAUAAAUUGGGAUAUCUAAAAAGGCCCCUCAAAAGAAGAUAUGUCAAAUUUGCGAAACACAUGUCAGAUGUUUGGCAUUGCACCCCCCAAACAACCCAACAGACCUAUGCAUAUGUGGUAUCACUGUACUCAGGAGAUGUUGCUGAACACAUAUUGGGUGAUCUUUGGCAGUAACACCUAACAGGAGCUGAGAAUUCAUACCAAAAGUACAAUGUGAGAGAAAAAUAACACAAAAAAAAUGACAACCCAAACGAUUGACAAAGACUAGUGGUAGAAUUAGUGCCUGGAAAGUGUUUAAAUACUAUUUGAAACACCCUAGGGUGUAAAUUACAUUGUCCAGCUUCAAAAAUGUCCCAAAUAGGACAUAGGUGCAUGAUGACCAGCUGUGAAAAUUCCAAGUUGGAAAACUGGAAUGCGCAACCUCCAAAUAAGGUCUUUUAGACCCAAGAGAACCCAAAACACAUGUGCGUGGAUGGUAUCACUGUACUCAGGAGAUGUUGCUGAACACAUAUUGGGGUGAUCUUUGGCAGUAACACCUAACAGGAGCUGAGAAUCCAUGCCAAAAGUACAAUAUGAGAGAAAAACCCCACAAAUGACUUACCAAAAGAUCGACAAAGACUGGUGGUGGCAAUAAUGAUCAAUCUGACAGAGUUUAACACGUAAAACAACUGAUGUUAGAGAAGGGGAGGGAGGUGGGUUGUCAAAAAUAUCAGAAGAUGUGCCUGAAAGUGAAAUGCGCAGGUUGGCUUGUAAUAGCCAGAAAAAGUAUAUAAACUACACUAUAUAUAUAUAUAUAUAUAUAUAUAUAUAUAUAUAUAUAUAUAUAUAUAUAUAUAUAUAUAUAUAUAUAUAAAAAAUAGGAACUGUACCUUGCACACUGGUUUCUGAGACUUCCAAGACCGGGUGCAUAGCCUGGGCUUCACAAUCAAUAUAGGCAAGUAGAAUGGCUGCACUCUCGGACUGAAACGUCGAUUUUAUGGAAACAUAAUAAAAGUUAUUUUUUAUAUGGAAAUCCGAGAGUGCAGCCAUUCUACUUGCCUAUAUAUAUAUAUAUAUAUAUGUAUAUAUAUAUAUAUAUAUAUAUAUAUAUAUAUAUAUAUAUAUAUAUAUACAAAACCAAGAGGGCUGCACUCACCUGAACAUGCAUACAUUACAGGGUGCUGCUGGGGCCAAAAUAUAUAAAAUACAGAAUCCAGCGCACUCGCUUAUUCACUAAACAAUGCUUUCAAAAUCUUAGAGAUUGUAAUAGUUUUAUUUAAAAACACCUCACCUAGGCAAAAAAUAAUGGGGGUUUAGUUACAUUAUAUGAUCAUAUAUUGCAUAAGCCUGCCACAACGUAAAUGUACCCCAUUCUUGGCAGGUCCUACUCUAGCAGCCUAAUGCUUACCCUUAAGGAAAUACUUCCUUACUGGGACUCUCUGCAAGUCAAGGCUGCCUGAGUAGGACCUGAAAAGAAUGGGGUACAUUGACAUUGUGGCAGGCUUAUGCAAUAUAUGAUCAUAUAAUGUAACUAAACCCCCAUUAUUUUUUGCCUAGGUGAGGUGUUUUUAAAUAAAACUAUUACAAUCUCUAAGAUUUUGAAAGCAUUGUUUAGUGAAUAAGCGAGUGCACUGGAUUCUGUAUUUUAUUUAUAGAUAUAGAUAUAGAUAUAGAUAUAGAUAUAUAUAUGUGUGUGUGUGUUGUGUAUGCAUAUGUGUAAAAUUAAAUCUUUAGGUACUCAGUUGUUUCAAUCAAUUAAGUGCAUCUAAUCCAUUAUGUAUAUUUUACAUUAAGUGUUCACUAGGUGUGGCCUACUCUAUAGUAGUUAGGGAAAUUCUUAUCUACAAUUAUAACUAGAUUUAUGAAACCAUGGGUGAAAAGACAUCACUUGUUAAAUCAACAUUUUAGUUAAUAAACCCCCAAUUGGUGAAAACCUAUAUUCUUGAUUAGAAAGGCCUAGUGGUGUUCUGGAUACAGAAUUGCUUCUAAAUAAAUAGUUAAUUGUGAAUUAUAUAGUACAACUGUAGCCCAUUGAUAGCCAGAUUAUAAUAAAAGAAUCCAGUAAUUCAAGCAAGCCAAAGAGUAAAAGUUGAAAAUGUAUUAUUAACCACUAGAUGCCAGACGAGAGCAUAUUUACUUAGACUCCAAUAUUUUGUAAAUUCAUGCUACACAUUGAGAUUUCUCUUGUUUUCAAGUAUGUCCUGGGUCUACAAACACUGCAUUGUUACAGUAGGGUACAAUAUAAUAUUACAAAAAAAUGCACAGAACAAUGUGGUUAUGCAGAAAUCUCUUCUUUCUAAUAUUCUUUCUGCCUGGAUCUGUAGGUGUGUGAAAUAGAAAAAAAAGAUAUUAGUAGAUAAUAAUAAUAAUAAUAAUAAAUAUAUAUAAUGCCAGAUUAAGUGCAUUUUUAUAUUAAUAUAUAUAUAUAUAUAUAUAUAUAUAUAUAUAUAUAUAUAUAUAUAUAUAUAUAUAUAUAUAUUAAUAUAAAAAAACACUUAGAAUUAAAUUCCAUAUGUAUAUAUGUUGUACAUAUAUAUUAUAAAAUAUAAAUAAUAAAUACAAAUAAAUUUAAAAAUGUAAAAAUAAUAAAAUAAAAUAAAUACAUGCAAUUUUAUUCUAACUGUAUUUUUAUGUUAAUAUAUAUAUAUAUAUAUAUAUAUAUUUAUAAGUGUAUUUUGAUAUAUAUUUAUAUCAAAAUACACUUAGAAUGAAAUUAUAUAUAUAUAUAUAUAUAAUAUAUAUAUAUUAUAUAUAUAUAAUAUAUAUAUAUUAUAUAUAUAUUAUAUAUAUAUAUAUUAUAUAUAUAUAUAUAUAUAUAUAUAUAUAUACAAAUAGGUAGCUGCACUCACGGCUAAUAAAAAGACUGAAACGUUGAUCGCUGGUUCUUUUACCUUUUUGCAAUUUUGACUUUUUAUUAGCCAUGAGUGCAGCUACCUAUUUGGAUAUAUGGAUGGACGGCUAUUUAUUGCUAGCACCCGGGCACCACGGGAGAUUUAAGCGUGAGUGCAGGAGCAUUUGGUAUUUUUUAUAUAUAUAUAUAUAUAUAUACAUAAUUGCAUAAACAGAAAUAUGCACGUAGACUUUAAAUAUAUAAAUAUGUAUAUAUAUUUAAAUUCUACGUGCAUAUUUAUUUAUGUAUUACUUUUAAAUAAUUAAGUAACUUUAUUAAUUGCAAUUCGAGGGACCUGCUUGACAACCCAGGCCGAAAGUCCAGAGAAUGUAAUUUGCUAGCACUAUGUUUAACCUUGUAAUUUUCUAAAACACCCUUAAACCUGUAUAUAGAGGGGGGGGGGAGGGGAUCUGUUUUACUCGGGAGACUUUGCUAAACACAAAUAUUAGUGUUUCAAAAACGUAAAACCUAUCACAGUGAUGAUAUUGUCAGUGAAAGUGAUGUUUUUUGCAUUUUUCACACACAUUCUAUGGAACCGUUUUGGGCAUGGGACCAUGCGUGCGGUCGGUAAAAACUAUGACUUUCAGGAAAUUCCUGAACCCCUGAACUGAUCUGGGUGAUUAAUUGAGAUAAUUGAGUUUAGUAAAGUGCUUGACUCAAUUAUCUCCUAAAUAAAAGGGAAGGCUUAUUGUAUUGUAUAUGGGAGUGUCAUGCAUUGUAACACUGGUAUUUUUGGUCUGUGACUUUGUAAUGGAGUUCUCCAUAAGGUCCAUGAGAGAGUGCCCCUUGAAUGGGGAUUGUUAUGAAAAGCCAAGUGUGGCACCAUUAAAAUCAGUUCCUCUUCACCCUCAACAUGGAGUCUUGUCUCAUGUGUGGAGGGGACAGCUCUGGGGAUUGCCAUACUCCUUAUACUCCCUGGAAUUAUAAUCACUAGCUCUUAUAAGAGCUGUUCCUGCUAUACUCUCUGGAGUAGGAGAGGUUCACCCACUGGAAGCCGGAUCCUGGUCUUGGGUCCAAGGUAGGUGGAAGGUGGAGGACGGUGAGAUCUCCAACCAAGCUGCGGCGGUUUGUGGGAGUCUACGGUGCUGAUUGAUGGUGUCUGGUGGAGUGCUUGGAGUCCUCGGUGAGCACUAGGAGCAUCGAUUGGUGGAGGCACCGGUCGGGAUGCCAGGCAGUCCAUCACACAGUUCAUGCAAAAACAAAGAGAACGUUACCUGCACUCUGGCCUAAAUCCCCAUGUACAUUUAAACAAAAUGGAGGCUCUUUAGUUUUAUUCCAAUUUUAUAAACCCUUUCACAUUAAACCCUUUAUAGGGCUUCUAUACAUUAAAAUAAAAUAAACUUUGCUGGUAUCAGACAAAGUGUAAACAUCUCUAAUGAGACAUGAAGGGGUAUUUUAUAAACCCCUACAUACUUACAGGGAGUGCAGAAUUAUUAGGCAAGUUGUAUUUUUGAGGAUUAAUUUUAUUAUUGAACAACAACCAUGUUCUCAAUGAACCCAAAAAACUCAUUAAUAUCAAAGCUGAAUAUUUUUGGAAGUAGUUUUUAGUUUGUUUUUAGUUAUAGCUAUGUUAGGGGGAUAUCUGUGUGUGCAGGUGACUAUUACUGUGCAUAAUUAUUAGGCAACUUAACAAAAAACAAAUAUAUGCCCAUUUCAAUUAUUUAUUAUUACCAGUGAAACCAAUAUAACAUCUCAACAUUCACAAAUAUACAUUUCUGACAUUCAAAAACAAAAAAAACAAAUCAGUGACCAAUAUAGCCACCUUUCUUUGCAAGGACACUCAAAAGCCUGCCAUCCAUGGAUUCUGUCAGUGUUUUGAUCUGUUCACCAUCAACAUUGCGUGCAGCAGCAACCACAGCCUCCCAGACACUGUUCAGAGAGGUGUACUGUUUUCCCUCCUUGUAAAUCUCACAUUUGAUGAUGGACCACAGGUUCUCAAUGGGGUUCAGAUCAGGUGAACAAGGAGGCCAUGUCAUUAGAUUUUCUUCUUUUAUACCCUUUCUUGCCAGCCACGCUGUGGAGUACUUGGACGCGUGUGAUGGAGCAUUGUCCUGCAUGAAAAUCAUGUUUUUCUUGAAGGAUGCAGACUUCUUCCUGUACCACUGCUUGAAGAAGGUGUCUUCCAGGAACUGGCAGUAGGACUGGGAGUUGAGCUUGACUCCAUCCUCAACCCGAAAAGGCCCCACAAGCUCAUCUUUGAUGAUACCAGCCCAAACCAGUACUCCACCUCCACCUUGCUGGCGUCUGAGUCGGACUGGAGCUCUCUGCCCUUUACCAAUCCAGCCACGGGCCCAUCCAUCUGGCCCAUCAAGACUCACUCUCAUUUCAUCAGUCCAUAAAACCUUAGAAAAAUCAGUCUUGAGAUAUUUCUUGGCCCAGUCUUGACGUUUCAGCUUGUGUGUCUUGUUCAGUGGUGGUCGUCUUUCAGCCUUUCUUACCUUGGCCAUGUCUCUGAGUAUUGCACACCUUGUGCUUUUGGGCACUCCAGUGAUGUUGCAGCUCUGAAAUAUGGCCAAACUGGUGGCAAGUGGCAUCGUGGCAGCUGCACGCUUGACUUUUCUCAGUUCAUGGGCAGUUAUUUUGCGCCUUGGUUUUUCCACACGCUUCUUGCGACCCUGUUGACUAUUUUGAAUGAAACGCUUGAUUGUUCGAUGAUCACGCUUCAGAAGCUUUGCAAUUUUAAGAGUGCUGCAUCCCUCUGCAAGAUAUCUCACUAUUUUUGACUUUUCUGAGCCUGUCAAGUCCUUCUUUUGACCCAUUUUGCCAAAGGAAAGGAAGUUGCCUAAUAAUUAUGCACACCUGAUAUAGGGUGUUGAUGUCAUUAGACCACACCCCUUCUCAUUACAGAGAUGCACAUCCCCUAAUAUGCUUAAUUGGUAGUAGGCUUUCGAGCCUAUACAGCUUGGAGUAAGACAACAUGCAUAAAGAGGAUCAUGUGGUCAAAAUAAUAAUUUGCCUAAUAAUUCUGCACUCCCUGUAUUAACCUUAAAUAGGGCUAUAAAACAUACAAAUCACCUUUCCGGUAUCAGCUAAAAAGCAAAUUUCUCUGUUGAGACAGGAAGGGGUGCUGCCCCUACAUACUUAUAAACUCUUAAUAAGACAAACAUGGGGUGACUGGCAGCAAUGUAACAUAGCUGUGUGAUACAAACAUCAUAUACAAACACAAAGGUAAAGCACCGCGCUUACAGCACCAGUACAGCACAGCACCUCAUAGACAACUAUUACAUAAGACUGCAAUAAAUCCCAUAAGAAAUAAAAGAAAUGUGUUUUGCCUGUCACUCAUAUUUUCUUCAAAAAAUAGUAUAUAUAUUUGUGGUCAGGGACAAUAAGCCGAGUUAUAGAAUUGGUGGAGUAAGUUGUGGAGUGCCGAAACCGACGUUCAGGUAGGCCUGUAAAAAGAGGGCAAAACAUGUAACACUUUAAUACAUGUUGACAUUAUGUAACCAAUAUUUUAAAUGCCUAAGUUAAUUACUUCUUAGGUUGAGGGAUGCAUCAAUGACAUGCACUGAGCUAUUCUACUAGAGACUGCAGAAACAGUGCCUAUUCUAAAAGAAUGAUUUGAAAAUGUUGAUGGUUGUUCCAAGUAGUUUUAUGGUGUUGCGAGCUAAUUUUAGGUUAAGGUGGCAAAAGGAUGUGAACGACAUCAUGGUAUUGACCGAGUACUGAUUAACAAUUAAAAUUUCUGAAACUAAUUUAUUGAAAAUCAUCAGAGCUCUAGUAUAUGAAUGGUUGGUAUUGGCAGAGAGUGAUGCGUGUGCCAGUAAUCUGCCGUGGCCAUGAGAUGAGCUAAUACAAUAUGAGAUCCUGAAAUGUUGGGGUUUUGUUAGGUCGUUUGGCAGCCGUGGGGUGUGCUUGAAAGAAUACCCGAAAAUGUGAUUUAGAGAAGGUUUCUGCCUAGUAUGUGUAUACAGGCAAGGUAAUAUUGCUGUGUUGCUGCCAUCCAAGUUAACUUCCUAAUUACAUAGUUACAUAGGCUGAAAAGAGACGUGUCCAUCAAGUUCAGCUUUCCUCACAUCUGUUUUUUGCUGUUGAUCCAAAAGAACGCAAAAAACAAAACAAAAACAAAAACCACAGUUUAAAGCACUUUUGCUUUAAAACAAACUAGAAAACAAAUUCCUACUUGACUCCAGAAUGAUAGUCAGAUUUAGUCUUGGAUCAAGAAGCUAUUGCCCUCAUUAUUGUUAGUUUAACAUUAUUGUUAGUUUAGUAUUUAUUUAAUAUGCUCAUGUGCUGUAUGAGUAGCAUUUGUCAUGCAACCCCCUCCAAAGAGACCCCCUGGCGUGUGUAGUGGCCAUGAUGGGGUAUAAUUCGAAGAGAGCUGAAGAUUAACUAAAAGAAGGUAGACUCUGUGACUCUGUGGGCCAUAUUUCAAUGAACCAGUUAUUUUUGAAAAUGGCUGCAUAUCCAGUGUUGUCAGCAGCGUCCGUACAGAUAAUGCGAGAUUAGUAGGAUAGUGGGGAAUGAACAUAACUUUCUCGUUCCAGUGGGAUAGGAAGUUGAACCCCAUGAAUGGGUCUGCUCAAGCCUGAGCAUCGAGUGUCUUAGUGCAAUUGUUGGUAGGUAACCAGAAGAAGGCUGAGUAAUCGGGUAUGAAGUUGUAAAACGCAUAUGGCAAAGUUCAGAGAACCACAGAGAGAAUAGAGAUCCAAGUGGGAAUAGGCAACUGUGCCCAGUAGGGACUCUACGUUUCCCUGAUAUGCUGGACCUUGCCCACAGGGAUAGGGGGUUACUGGACUGCAAUAUCGAGUCCAGUUGUAAACCCAGGAGAAUGAAACUGGAGUAGGGGACUACACUUUAUUUUUUCCAAUUUGACAAUUUUUAUUUUCUGUUUAAACUGGGGGUACAGAAGGAAAGAAGGGAUAGGAACGAUAACAGUUGCAUCUCAAAUACAUUUUUCAAUGUUGCUUUUUGUGCAAGUUACCAUCCUGUACAUAGUGUCUAUUAAGCUUGUGUUCCUUUACAUUUGUAUCUAGUACAUUUGUAGCCUGAUGCACCUUUGCGAGCUGUUCGACUGUAUGCGUUUUUUUUAAUAUGUAAGUUUUGAUUCGGUUUGGGGAACAAAGGGGAAAGUGGGGGGGAAGGGCGUAAAAUUUUGCCCUUCAUAAUACCUUGUGAACAUCUUUUGAGUAUACUCUUGACAUGCACAUAUUGCGUUUCGUUUGCUCAGUGGGGUGGGGAGGGGGUACAGAAAACAAAAAGGGAGGGGUAAGGGAUCUUAGGGGAGUGGGUUGCUAGUUUCCAUCCCUCUAUCGUCCUGUGCCAUAAGGGUCUCUUAUGCGCCAUUCAGGCGGUCAAUUCUCCCAUAGGUGUGGGGUUGCUAGGUUUGUGGUAGCUCGCCCUGUCGGAGCAGCAGGUGGUGUCUUUGUACUGGUGAGUCGCCUUUGCGCGGCUUGUUGUUAUGGCUUGCUAGAGUGCGGGUGAAUGGUCGGGUUGCCUGAGGAAGGCCAGUGCAGCCUCAAGGUCCCCCCAUGUGCAUAUGGGGAAAUGCCCACAGUCAAUGUUCUACCCACAUGGGAAUAGGGUGUUAUACAGGGCUGUAACUGGGGUAACCGAUAUGUCCUCUCUGGUUCUUGUGUAUCUUAUUGUGUGUCGCUAUGUUUCAAGAUAGCCUAGUGGGGUCAAUGGUUCCUUUGUUCUCAAUGUAAGUUGUCCACAGCUCUCGGGCCGCAGCACUCCCCCCACUCGUUUGUACCUGUUUCCACAUCAAUAUUUCAUAAUCUAGUGUGGGCGAUACUAGUGCGGAUACCUCCGGCAUUGAGGGAAUGAGCGGGGUCUUCCCGUUCUUAGCUAGUAGUGUGUUGGCCAAUGAGAGUGUGAGGAAUAUUAUCUUAGCUAUAUAAUGCGAGAGGCCUCUGGGAAUUAAUUUUAGUAAAAUGGUUUCAAUGUUGUGUUCUAGUAUGCACCCUGUGGCUCUCUUUAUGAGCUCUGCUAUUUGUUUCCAAAAAGGGUGUACUAGUUAGCACGUCCACCAAAUACCCUCUUGGGUCAGGCACCUCCAGCAUCUAUCGCUAGUGUUUGGGUAAAUGGCCUUAAGUCUUGUGGGAACCAUAUACCAUCUGUAUAACAUGUUUCUGGUGGCCUCCAGGUGAGAGGCACAUGAGGUGAGCCCAUGUGGUUUGCGUAAAUGCAGUCCCACUCUUCCUUUGUGAGGGGUCUGCCUAUAUCUCUGUUCCAGUCUGCUUUGAAGCGCCAGGUAGGUUCUGUUUUUUGUGAGGUGAGGUGCUUGUAGCUGAGUGUUCCAUGUGGGUGGGGGGGCAGUCCCAGCGGUGUCAGUGAGUAUCGCUUUCAGUUGCCAGUGCGAGAACAUGACAAGUUGUCUGCCGAGCAGAACAGGUCUCUGUGGUUGUCCUUACAGGUGUACAUGAGUUUGGUGGUUGGUAAAGUUUUGGGAGUUAUGGGUCUAAGUCUCUUGGGUGCCCAGACAGAUCCUGGCCUCAAUCUCCAUCCAUUGGGGAGUGUAUGUGGCAAAGUGCAUGGUGAUAAUGUUAGCUAUCUGAGUUGCUUGGUAAUAGGCCUUAAGAUUGGGGAAUCCCAGUCCGUCCUUGUCUGUCGGUCUCAUCAGCAGCGCUCUUUGGACUCUGGGGUGUUCCCCCCCCCCAGCUAAAUCUGAGCAGGAUUGACUGCAGUCUUUGUAAUUAUGUUUGGGGGAUGUGUGUGGCAAAACUUGCCACUUAAGACUAUACAUGUAUUGCAUGUGUGGAUAUCCUUGUUUUAGCUGUAAGAACCAAGUAUAAUACUGUUAUCCUUAUACUAAUCGGUAUUUUAACAGUGUGUUGAAAAUAAUAUGUAUUUCGUGCGGCGUUCGGUUAGUUAGACUGGGAGCUGAGCGGUAUUCUCACGAACUGUUCGCUCAGUCCCCAGCUAUCUACCGAAUGUUCAUUCGUGUAAAUCAGUGAAAUAUUAUGGAAGUUAUGUACUUUAGUGUAAAAUGUAAACUCUGCUGCACGGAGGGAUAAUCCCAAUGGUAUAUUCCAAUGGGAGUAUCCCUCUCGUACAGCAGUGCAUGAUGGGAGAAAUGUGUGUGUUGGUCAGUUCCCCAUGUAGUCCCCUACUGUCCCACCCCUGGAAUGUCAGUAGGGAAACCCCUUGCAUGGGGACUUGGAUAAAUACUGUGACCUGUGAAUAAAACCUUAGUUGACUCCUAGCCUAUGUGUCGUCUAGUUCUUGGGAUGGAAGGAUUCUUACAACGCUACUGGGAUUAUUGUAUGCUGUAUUCAUUUCCUUGGAUUAUUUUAUGCUAUUCCUGUUACCCAGCGGAGAUACUGUGGAUUAUACUACCUCUCCGCUACAAUGUGUAUAUGUAUGGAGCGAAACAUGUAUAACAUUUUGGGAAGUAUCGUCAUUUUGAUGGCCGCAAUGCACUCUAGCCAUGAUAGAAAUUUGUUCUGCCAUGUCUGCAGGAUGUGCUCCACUUCCCUUAGGAGUUUAACCCCUUAAUGACACAUGACAUGUGUGACAUGUCAUGAUUCCCUUUUAUUCCAGAAGUUUGGUCCUUAAGGGAUUAAUGUAAUUGGUGGCAUACAGGUCAUGGGGUCUUUUUGUCAGCUUUAUGCCCAAAAAUGUGAGGUGGUCGCCUCUCCAGUCAUACUAGAAAGUGCGUCUGUGUCUGUCUUCCAUCUCUCUAGUCAUAUUGAUGCACAUGGCUUGGGUUUUAGGUAGGUUGGGUUGGUAAUAAGACUGGGCACUGUAUUCUCAGAUCUCUUUAUGGAGAUUUGGUAAGGAUACUGUCGGGUUGGAGAGUGUAAGUAAGAUUUCAUCCGCAAAGAGGUUUAGAGUGUAUUCUUUGCCCCCAUGGCGAUUCCCUGUAUGUCUCGAUUGUUGCAUAUGGCUAUGGCCAGUGGUUCUAGAGCCAGCACGUAGAGCAGUGGGGAGAGGGGGCAGCCCUAUCGUGUGCCAUUGGUUAUUUUGAAUGUGUGGAAGCUAAACCCUGCAUUGAGGACCAUGGCUGAUGGUGUACUAUAGAGUGCCUUAAUCACGUGUAGGAACUCAGGUGGGAAGCCGUAUCUGAUUAGUGCCUCGUGGAGGAACCCCCAAUGUAACCGGUCAAACGCCUUUUCUGUGUCUAGCGAUAACAUCAUGCACAGUGUUUUGGAUUGGUUGAGGUAAUAUAGGAUAUCCAGUACGUUGUGUGAGUUAUCCGGGCCCUGUCUGCCCGACACAAACCCCACUUGGCUCGUGGCCACUAAGUCAGGUAGUAGAUUUUUUAGUCUCUCAGCAUAUAUUUUAGCGUAUAGUUUGGCAUCUGCGUUUAGAAGGGAGAUGAGCCUGAAGUUGGUUUCCUGGCUUCGGAAGGGUAAUGAUGUGGGCCACUAGGAAUUCUGGCGGCAAAGUGCCUUGCUUUGUGGUGUAGUUAAAGGCCUGUGCCACGCAUUGGCUGAGUAUAGUUUUGAAGGUGGCAUAAUAUUUAUUUGUGAGGCCAUCCGGUCCUGGGGCCUUCCCCUUCAGCAUGGCUUCGAUAAGUCGAGUUACCUCUUGGGACAUGAUAGGGUUUGUGAGUUGUGUAAUUUGGAGCAUGGGCAAGUCUAUCCUGUUCAGGUAUUCCCUUACUUAGUCUUUUGUCGGUUGCGCUACCGCUUUGUUGUCCUUCAAGUUGUAAAGGGAACUAUAAUAGGUAGCAAAUUAGUUACAAAUUUGCGUGGGUUGCGUCAGUUUGAGGUUCUGUGAGGUUUGGAGGUAGGGAAUUCAGGUUUGAGCUUGUCUGUCUAUAAUUCUGUGAGCCAGUGCUUUACUAGCUCUGUUACCCAGAACGAAAGUUGUGGCUUUCAGUUUUUUGAUGGCAUAGCCCGCUUUUUGGAAGUUGGUGGUGUUAAUCUGUCUCUGUAGUUCGGUAAUCUCUUUGUGUGUGGUCGUGGAUGGGGUGAGUUGGUUGGCUCUGUGAAGGUCAUGCAAUCGUUUUAGAUUUUGGAUGUGUGCGGUAGGAGACUCUGCGGAUUAGCAGUCCCCUAAUCACCGAUUUGUGGGCUAGCCACAGUGUCAUGGGAAAUAUGUCAGGGGUGGCGUUGUUGUCGAGGUAGGAUUUCAGGUCCUGCUGUAAUGUUUGUGCGGUGUUUAAAGUUGUACUGGUCUGUGAUCGUUAGCAUCACCGGGCAGUGGUCUGACCAGGUAGAGGACCCUAUGUCGCAUGCGGUCGCUCUGUUCAGAUGUGUUCCCUGCAAGAAGAAGCUGUCAAUCUUUGUAUACGUGUUGUGCACCUGUGAAAAGUGAGUUUAUUCCUUAUCUUGUGGGUGUAGUGCUCACCAGACGUCAUAGAGCCCAAAAGCGUGUAAGAGCUUUGUUAGGGGUUUGCAUUGCUUGUGAAGUGUUUUGGCUCUAUGUGUCGAGUGAGUUGCGGUUAAAUCCAUCCUUGGGUCUUGAAUCUGGUUAAAAUCUCCACAAAUAAUUGUGGUGCCCAUUUGGAGCUGUGCUAUGAGUGUCAAUAUAUUGUGUAGGUAGCCUCCUUGGUUUGCGUUAGGUAGAUAAGCAUUGACAAUAGUGUAGGUGGAGUUGUUUAUGGUGCAAAUCAAAAUGAGGUAUCUGCCUUGGGGGUCAUGUUUCACCGUUAUUUCCUCAUAUGCCAAAUGGCUGCUGAGGAGGAUGGAGACCCCUUUGCUUUUUGUGGGGGAUGUGGUGUGGUAUUAGUGGGGGUAGAGCGUUUUCCCUAGAAUUGGAUUGGAGUUGUGUUAAAAGUGCGUUUCCUGCAGGCAGACUAUGUCAGUCUGUGAGGUUUUGAGUUCUCUCAGUAGCAUGUGUCGUUUGUGUGGGGUGUUCAACCCCCUGAUGUUAUGUGUGUAUAUUUUCAUGCUUUGUUUGGUGGGGAGUUGUGCUAGUCUGAUGUCGUUGGCCAUCCCUACUAAGUGCGGGCAGUGUGGUAGUCUGAGGAUGCCCUGUUGAAUAGGGUAUUGCGAGGCAGAUUGAGGGUACCUCCUUCUUGGUGGGUCAGGUGCUUUGGGUGCUUGUGUGCUGGAGGUUGUUGUGUGAUCUGAGAGGAGAGUACACAUUAGCAUUAUCACAAUAAUAACUAUAAUACAAUUCUUAGACCGUGAGUGUUGUUCAGAGUGGCAUACCAACAUAUAACAUAACAUAUCAAACAGUAACUUAAAACAGUAAGUGAAAACAACCUUUGAGGUGUUCAUAUGACUUAAAGCGAAGGUAGUGACUUAACUUUCUUGUUUAGGGGGUAGGUGGACAGGUCAAGUCAGACCGGGCUCAGGUCUGGGCAGCGCAAGGGUCUGGGCUCUCUCUAAGUUGGUGCUAUGGGUUGUAUGUAUAUAUAUAUAUAUAUUUUUUUUUUUGCAAUAAUAUUUAAUGGGUUUGGGACCUUGGAGGCUUUUUGGUCAGUUUGUGGGGCGACUCUUGUUCUGGUCAUGCGUCAAGCAUAGCUCGGAUUUUGUAUAGGGGUUUGGGGCGCCCGGGACACGUGGGUCUGGCUGUGGGACCUGCGGUUUUUUUUGUUUUUUGUCUAGGUUUUUUUUUUUAGGUGAGUUUGCAUAGCAGUUGCUGCGAGUAGCGACAGAAGCCGGGGGGAGGGGGUAUGUUUCCAGCCUGGAUUUGCACCCUGUGUCCUCGUUAUCAGGUGUUGUCCCCUUCCUGAGUGUGUGAGUGGCCUAGGUGUUAGGCCUCAUGGACACUUUGGCUGUUUUCCAUUGGCACGGGUUAUGGCAAGAUGGGCUUGUUUCCCCCCACCACGCACCCGAACCCACCCCCCACUGGGUGCACCAUGUCCCCUGAAAAGGAUACCAGUAGGGAGGUGCACGUAUUGUCAAGCUCGGUCAGAGCUUUUGGUUGCUUGUCUCUGUAGGGGUGUUCACGUUAACGUCCCAUAAUUGGAGCCUGUGGUCUCACAAUCUAGCUGUCAAGGUUGGGGAGUCCCCAGUCUGUUUAAUGGUCCGGGCGGAAAGCGUUUCACUUCUGCUUGGCAGUUCUCCACUCCCCCUGCAUCUUGUUUCCACGGGCUUGCCCUGUCGAAGUUGCUUCCAUCGUAAUGCCCCACGAAUGCAGGAGGUCUGUGCUGUUUUGAGUAGAAACCGCCGUGUAUAUCUUUCUGCCUCUGGAGAUCAGGAGCUUCACUGGGUACCCCCAUCUGUAUGGUAUGGAGUGCUGCCGUAGUGUCUCCGUGACUUCCCGGUAUGCUCUCCUUCUUCUCAUAGUUUCCACGGAGAGGUCGGCAAAGGUCAUUAUAUCUUUAAACUUGUCUUGUAAGUCUUUCUUUGUGCGGUGGGUCUUCAUUAGGAGUUCCUUGAUAUGGAAAAAGUGCACUCUCAUAAGCACAUCUCUGGGGGCAGUUGAUGGGAGGUGUGUGGGUCUGGCCACUCUGUGGAUCCUGUCUAGGAUUAAUAUGUCUGCCAGUAUGUCAGGCCGUAUUCCGUUGAAAAACUCUGUCACAUAACCAGUGAGCUCAGGUUGGGGAACGUCUUCUGGUAUCCCCCGCAUCCGUAAGUUGUUCCGGCGGGAUCGGUCCUCCAGAUCCAUUAUUUUGUUUUCGUACCUCUCCAGCCUACUCUCCAUGUCCUCCAUUUUAUCCUCCAUGGAGUUGUGGGCCGUGACCAUUUCCUCCACCCUGUUCUCUAGGUGUGAGGUCCAGCUGCCCAGCCCCAUGAUGUCCUUUCUGAGCUCCUCUAUCGCCGACUUCACCGUUGCCUGCAUUUUGCCGGCUACAUCAUCCAGCAUGCAUUGCAGGAUUGCUGUGGUCACUGCACUGCUCUCCAUGUGAUCACUGUCUGCAUCUGACUCUGCGCCAUCUUGGGCCUGCUGGCUCGCAGCUUUGGAUGGCGUGCGGGCAGCAAAAAAGGCCGCCUUUUCUUUUGUGUCAGUCGACUUUUUGACCCGGUUCUGCGACAUUAUUGGGGCUCUCUUGGGACGUUUGUAGUGCAGAUGGAUGCUUUCAUUUGCCGUUUUAUGGGCCACUGCGACGGAGCCCGCUCAGUCUGCGUCCAUCCAUCUCGAGCUCCAGCCACGCCCCUACAGGGGGGACUACAUUUUAAUCUUAAAACAGCAGAAGGCUAUUGGAAGAAAACAGGUCUGGUGAAUACUUUGGGAUUUACUAUUCUGUUCCUCUACUAAUAGAAAAUUGUCUAGAUAAUGUAUUACUGUGGCCAGUUACAUACGUAGAGGACGGCUUUAGGUACUGAAAAUGUUGCAGAUUGCAACUUACCUAGGAACACAACAAGUCUGCCCAAUUUGUCUUGAGCUGUGUAACAGUUGCAGUUUACACCAAGUAAUGCAAAAUGGCAGACCUGUUCCAUAUGAUAACAUGUACAUAAACAUGACCCAUGAGAGACCCGUAAUGGUAGGACUGUUUAUUAGAGAUGAUAAUGAUGAAACAUUUAAGUAACAUGAUACAAGUGAUAACACACGUAUAAGUCAUAUGUUGAAGAAGGCCAAGUGAGGGCCUAAAAUAAACAUAUAUGUGUGAUGUUCAACAUCUAUCGUGGGUACUUCAUAAUUUCACCUUACAUGAAGAUUGACCACCAUAUGCAUUACUGAGCGUUAUACAUAGAGCCGAGGGUGUUCUCUAGUCUGUAAGUUACUUGCACACUUCAUUGGAGCCAUUGUCUACAAACUGUAUUUAGAUUGUGCAUAUGUAAUAAAUAAUUAUGAUUUUUAUUUUAUUUUUUGCAUGAAAGGCUUUUUUUUUUUUUACUUUCUCUGUUAGCUUACAGGUUGCACUAUGAUAUGUUUUUCCUUUUUUUCAUUACUCAUUUUCAAAUGUACUGUAUUUAUGUAUAUUUGAAUUUAAAAAGGAGAUAUCAGUUACCACUCCAUUUAUACGUAAAUAUUGAUUUCAUACUGUUUAGAUCAACCUCCACUCUCUUAUGAUAAUGGAAGCUGAAUGAGAGCCCAACACAACUAUACCUAGCGGCAGGGUGGCCAAAUCAGGGCAUAAUGAGAAGUUAUGGGUGAAUGAUACAAUUAAAUGGGGUAUGUAGAAAAUAUUUGAGUAGACUGCUUGCAAUUUAGUAUGAUUAUUGGUGACACCCAAGUGGCGGAUCUGGUUAUUGGCAUGUCUUGAUUUGAAGUGUGACAAUAACAUACUUAGAUGAAGGCUAUGUAUAUGGUCAUAUAACCACAGAACAGACAUAAUUAUGACCGACAAUUUUAAAGAACACUUGACUAGGCCUGUGUGGAGCCCAGUAAGUACUUAAAUCAAUAUAAGUAGUGACAGACAGUGAAAAAAGACAGAUGAUUAACAGGCAGUAUCAUAAAUGCCAAUUUCAUUUAUAGGCACAAGUUUGGGCCUGACAAAAUUUAUACCUUCAUUUGCAACAUGUAGCUAUAUAAUUACUAAACAAUGUGGGCCCACUGAGUGCCUGAAUACAUACAGAAUACAUAUAUGUACUGAGGCUGGAAGAGUCCUGGUGAACAUAAGUAACAAAUGCCGAUCUUUUUAGAGUUGAAAAGUAUAACGAAGGCUGUGUGGGCUGGCAACAAUAAGUUGCAAAUAUUAAAAACUGAAUAUGGCACAGCAUUAGGAUGACUAACUGAAUUGCAUAUGAUAAAAUUUAAAUGGCCGAAUAAGGGGCAAAUACAGUAAGCAGAAUGAAUAAACACAAUUGAGGUAUCAAGGUGAUGCUACGUAUGAUUGAAAUAGGACAGAUUUACAUUAGUAUGGAGAUUCGCUAUAUCCGAAUGAAGGUAGAAUACAGACUGAACUGCAACUGCUACGCGGAAAUGUUGAAUGUUGGGCGAAUACAUGUUGAAUGUCAGUGAUAGCAUAGCCAAAUGUGGGCUGCAUGAACAAACUUACGGUUUUGUUCAACUAAACGUGCGAACAGCAACAGGAAAAAAACACGACUGGGCUGGAUGCAGAAGUGCCCCAUGAGCUUCAAGGGAGGCGGCUGUUUUUUUCCUAGAGUAAGGUAAAAUGAAUACUUGUGUAGGCUGCACAAGGCCAAGACGAGCUUGGAGUUUAGAUAGUUUGUGUUGAUGACCUUUGAACUGAAAUAGAUGGUUCUGUACCAAGCCUGAGUAGAGCAAGGAGGCCUUCUCUGAAGCUAUGCCAUAAACUACAAAUGAUAAUUUCCUCUAAACCUAAAAUCUCUCUUGGUAAGGUCUCAGGCACAGGCAUAAAGAACACAAAGGAAGUACCUAAAUAUGUAUAAAAUAUUAGGGGACUACUGGGACUAAUUUAUACAAGUAAAUAAACUACAGUCUGUUCAAAACUAGCUUUACUGUUUUUCAUAUCAAUUUUUAAGUAAAAUAAAGAGGUUUAAUUACAAAAGUUGUAUAUAGAUGGCACUUAUAUCCUGAAAAAAUAUUUAAAUUUAAAGCCAAAGAUAACCCGCUAUGCUGGAGGUGUUACUUACAAAAUUUGGAAGAUUAAUAUGGAGUUUAUAACAACAUUAAUAUCCAAACUCUGAAAAAAAAAAUAAAUAUAUAUAUAUAUAUAUAUAUCUUUGAGCUAAGGUCUCCCUGACAAGUUGUCUGUUUUCUGUUUGUUGGUGUUAACUUAUUGUAUAUUUACUUUGUUGUUUGUCUAUCUAAGCUCGCUGUAAUAACUUAUUAGGGAACAACCUAAUGGAAGUGAGUAUCAACGAUUAUUAGGCUAAAUGUAAUUGGGAACAUUUGUUAAAGCUAAAAUAUGAUGAUUUUGUAAACAAAGAUAUACUGGAUGUAAUGAAUUUUUCUAAUAAAAAAAACAUAAAAAAACCAAAAACAAAAUAUCAACAUAUGUAACAUAAUCUUGACACAAUAUCAGUGUUUUCAUUUUAUGCCAUGUCCUAAACUUAUAAUUAGUCUUACAAUAUUAAUCCUUUAUGGCUCAGGUUUUCUGCAAUUAAACAUGUUAACAGGCUGUUGAAUGGAGACCUAUAACAGCCUUUUCCUUACUACAUUCUUUUAUCAUUGAAACGGUUUUAUUCUCUCUAGACCAAAUAGAAACUGAUCUGUGUCUAUUUCUUCAACAGAUAUAAACUUUUAAAAGUUCUGGCUAUCAUAUUACUCCUAUGUUCUGACUGUUCAGAUGCAGCACAAUUUUCAAAGACUUGGUCGAAGCCUAAUGUCGAAGACAUUGAUGGAUAUUUCAGAGAUGGAGAUGUGAUUUUGG